GCGGCGGGNGGUAGUAACACGUGGGUAACCUACCUAUAAGACUGGGAUAACUUCGGGAAACCGGAGCUAAUACCGGAUAAUAUUUCGAACCGCAUGGUUCGAUAGUGAAAGAUGGUUUUGCUAUCACUUAUAGAUGGACCUGCGCCGUAUUAGCUAGUUGGUAAGGUAACGGCUUACCAAGGCGACGAUACGUAGCCGACCUGAGAGGGUGAUCGGCCACACUGGAACUGAGACACGGUCCAGACUCCUACGGGAGGCAGCAGGA
rnacentral:rRNA from 1 species